rnacentral:piRNA from 1 species
UAAAGAGAAGGCUCCAGCAGCCACGCAAUA